rnacentral:ncRNA from 1 species
GGAUAAUCCCAGGCGACUGGGGAAAAGUCAGGUCAGGCUGGUUGAUCUGGCUCCUCUGAAACCAAGACGCAAGUUUUGGCGAGGCAGAAUUCACCAGUUCCUCUGGCGGUGUUCGCACACCGUCAUAUGCGAAUGAGGAACUUGGCAAUAAGCAGUGAUUAGAAACCACUGCAAGUUGAGUCAAGUAAUUCAGGCNGGUUUCGAGCCUGAAUGAAUCGCAGUCACCCAGAGGGUGUACAGUUGCUACUGUGUAUCAGCACGGUGCGAACGGCUCUGGCGGAUUUGAAUCAAAUUAAAACCGCCCAAAGAAAAACGCCGAAAGGCGGACAAAAGGAGCGCCCGCAUCGGGAAGGCACCGGAACUAGGCAGGUUCCGUGAAAAACUUCCAACCGCCGGCGAUGUUAAAAACGACACCGCUGGACUGUGAAAGAAAAGCAACUUGAGAGAGCAGAGGCGAGACCCGUGGUCUCGGGCGAACGCACCGCCACCAGCGGUGGCUGACCCGAAGCCAGUGGUUAAGACGUGAACGAAAUUCCAGGCGUGUCUUGACCUGGUUUGCAGGCCGGUGGCGCAACCACCAGCCGAAGCGAGCUGAAAAGCCUCACUCAAUAAUCCGGCGGCUGAAAAGUCCCGGACGGCCCUGCUACGAGGCCGAUAACUCCGUUUGUCAUGGAGAAUGGCGUCGGGAAACCAGCAGCCUCUGUAAAGAGCGCGCCAAAUGCUGGUCCGGGAAAGAGAGCGUGGCGAACUCC